UACGUAGGGGGCAAGCGUUGUCCGGAAUUAUUGGGCGUAAAGCGCGUGUAGGCGGCUUUGCAAGUCGGGUGUGAAAGCCCUCAGCUUAACUGAGGAAGUGCGCCCGAAACUGCAUGGCUUGAGUACCGGAGAGGAUGGUGGAAUUCCCGAAGUAGAGGUGAAAUUCGUAGAUAUCGGGAGGAACACCGGUGGCGAAGGCGACCAUCUGGACGGAUACUGACGCUGAGACGCGAAAGCGUGGGUAGCAAACAGG
rnacentral:rRNA from 1 species